rnacentral:rRNA from 1 species
UACGUAGGGGGCUAGCGUUGUCCGGAUUUAUUGGGCGUAAAGAGCGUGUAGGCGGCCUGGUAGGUCUGCUGUGAAAACUCGAGGCUCAACCUCGAGAUGUCGGCGGAAACCAUCUGGCUAGAGUCCGGAAGAGGAGAGUGGAAUUCCUGGUGUAGCGGUGAAAUGCGCAGAUAUCAGGAAGAACACCUAUGGCGAAGGCAGCUCUCUGGGACGGUACUGACGCUGAGACGCGAAAGCGUGGGGGAGUGAACAGG